rnacentral:rRNA from 1 species
AUUGAACGCUGGCGGCAGGCCUAACACAUGCAAGUCGAACGAGUGGCGGACGGGUGAGUAAUGUCUGGGAAACUGCCUGAUGGAGGGGGAUAACUACUGGAAACGGUAGCUAAUACCGCAUACCAUCGGAUGUGCCCAGAUGGGAUUAGCUAGUAGGUGGGGUAAAGGCUCACCUAGGCGACGAUCCCUAGCUGGUCUGAGAGGAUGACCAGCCACACUGGAACUGGGACAAGGUCCAGACUCCUACGGGAGGCAGCAGUGGGGAAUAGUGGACAAUGGGCGAAAGCCUGAUCCAGCCAUGCCGCGGGUGUGAAGAAGGUCUUCGGAUUGUAAAGCACUUUAAGUUGGGAGGCGUUACCAACAGAAGAAGCACCGGCUAACUUCGUGCCAGCAGCCGCGGUAAUUC